ACCGUGGUAGCCCAGUUGGUAGUGGCGUCGGCAGUACAGAUGCCAAAGGUCGCAUCGCAGGUUGAAAUCCUGCCUGCGGUG